CGGCGGACGGGUGAGUAACACGUGGAUAACCUACCUAUAAGACUGGGAUAACUUCGGGAAACCGGAGCUAAUACCGGAUAACAUAUUGAACCGCAUGGUUCAAUAGUGAAAGACGGUUUUGCUGUCACUUAUAGAUGGAUCCGCGCCGCAUUAGCUAGUUGGUAAGGUAACGGCUUACCAAGGCAACGAUGCGUAGCCGACCUGAGAGGGUGAUCGGCCACACUGGAACUGAGACACGGUCCAG
rnacentral:rRNA from 1 species